rnacentral:lncRNA from 1 species
UAAAAGAUGUUGGAUAACCAUUUGUUUGAAGUGGUGUAGUGGUGUAGGGUUUCCUGCCUAGGCAGGGGGUUGGACUAGAAGGCCUCCAAGGUCCCUUCUGACUCUGUUAAGCUAAUCUAUUCUAUGCUAUUCUAUGCUAUUCUAUUCUAUUUCUAUUCCAUUCCAUUCUAUAUACUCUCUCCUCUUCUCUUCUUCCAUUCUACAUUCCUAUUCUAUUCUAUUCUAUUCCAUUCCAUUCCAUUCCAUUCCAUAUACUCUCUUCUCUUCUCUUCUUCCAUUCUACAUUCCUAUUCUAUUCUAUUCUAUUCCAUUCCAUUCCAUUCCAUAUACUCUCUUCUCUUCUCUCAUUCUAUAUUCCUAUUCUAUUCUAUUCCAUUCCAUUCCAUUCCAUAUACUCUCUUCUCUUCUCUUCUUCCAUUCUAUAUUCCUAUUCUAUUCUCUUCCAUUCCAUUUCAUUCCAUUCUAUAUACUCUCUUCUCUUCUUCCAUUCUAUAUUCCUAUUCUAUUCUAUUCCAUUCCAUUCCAUUCCAUUCCAUAUACUCUCUUCUCUUCUCUUCUUCCAUUCUAUAUUCCUACUCUAUUCUAUUCUAUUCAUUCCAUUCUAUAUACUCCUCUUCUCUUCUCUUUUCCUCUUCUUCAAUUCUAUAUUCCUAUUCUAUUCUAUUCUAUUCUAUUCUAUUCUAUUCUAUUCUAUUCCAUAUACUCUGUUCUCUUCUUCCAUUCUAUAUUCCUAUUCUAUUCUAUUCCAUUCCAUUCCACAUACUCCCUUCUCUUCUCUUCUUCCAUUCUAUAUUCCUAUUCUAUUCUAUUCUAUUCUAUUCUAUUCUAUUCAUUCCAUUCUAUAUACUCCUCAUCUCUUCUCUUCUUCCAUUCUAUAUUCCUAUACUAUUCUAUUCUAUUCUAUUCUAUUCUAUUCUAUUCUAUUCUAUUCUAUUCUAUUCUAUUCUAUUCUAUUCAUUCCAUAUUCUCUUCUCUUCUCUUCUCUUCUCUUCUCUUCUCUUCUCUUCUCUUCUCUUCCCUUCCCUUCCCUUCCCUUCCCUUCCCUUCCCUUCCCUUCCCUUCCAUUCCAUUCUAUAUACUCUCUUGUCUUAUUCCAUUCUAUAUUCCUAUUCCUAUUC